CGAAAUGACUCUCGGCAACGGAUAUCUCGGCUCUCGCAUCGAUGAAGAACGUAGCGAAAUGCGAUACUUGGUGUGAAUUGCAGAAUCCCGUGAACCAUCGAGUCUUUGAACGCAAGUUGCGCCCGAGGCCUUUAGGCCGAGGGCACGUCUGCCUGGGUGUCACGC
rnacentral:rRNA from 2 species